rnacentral:rRNA from 1 species
UACAGAGGGGGCAAGCGUUGUUCGGAAUUACUGGGCGUAAAGGGCGCGUAGGCGGCCUUCUAAGUCAGGCGUGAAAUCCCUCGGCUCAACCGGGGAACUGCGUCUGAGACUGGAAGGCUUGAAUCCGGGAGAGGGAUGUGGAAUUCCAGGUGUAGCGGUGAAAUGCGUAGAUAUCUGGAGGAACACCGGUGGCGAAGGCGGCAUCCUGGACCGGUAUUGACGCUGAGGCGCGAAAGCCAGGGGAGCAAACGGG